ACGCGUUGGGAGCUCUCCCAUAUGGUCGACCUGCAGGCGGCCGCGAAUUCACUAGUGAUUCGUAUUACCGCGGCUGCUGGCACGGAGUUAGCCGGAGCUUAUUCUCCCGGUACUGUCAUUAUCAUCCCGGGUAAAAGAGCUUUACGACCCUAAGGCCUUCAUCACUCACGCGGCAUUGCUGGAUCAGGCUUGCGCCCAUUGUCCAAUAUUCCCCACUGCUGCCUCCCGUAGGAGUCUGGGCCGUGUCUCAGUCCCAGUGUGGCUGAUCAUCCUCUCAGACCAGCUAAGGAUCGUCGGCUUGGUAGGCCUUUACCCCACCAACUACCUAAUCCUACGCGGGCUCAUCCCUGGCCGAUAAAUCUUUGGUCCGAAGACAUCAUCCGGUAUUAGCAGUCAUUUCUAACUGUUAUUCCGAAGCCAAGGGCAGAUUCCCACGCGUUACGCACCCGUGCGCCACUAACCCCGAAGGGUUCGUUCGACUUGCAUGUGUUAGGCAUGCCGCCAGCGUUCGUUCUGAGCCAGGAUCAAACUCUAAUCGAAUUCCCGC
rnacentral:rRNA from 1 species